CCGCUCAGAGUAAAUGUGGGAACACUCUACUGAAACAGAGCAGGAAAAACUGAAAGCACUUAGCUGCUGGUUUUAGGAAUUACAUGCUUGGUAAAUAGCUUAUGAGAUGCAUACAAGACAACCCAUCAAUUGGUUUUAGGAAUUACAUGCUUGGUAAAAUAGCAUAUGAGAUGCAUACAAGACAACCAAUCAAAAUUAAUUACUUGUAAGUACAUUUAAUGAACCCGAGAAAUGAUUGGAAUUCAGACACCUUUUUGGCACGACCAUUUGUAAAGUUCUGUAAUAAACAAAGGGAAAAUUUCACAAAAGAACAACUGGGCUCCCUACUUUUCAAUUUUAUAGCCUAUAUAUCAAUUUACAACCAACUAGCCCAAAAUAAUAGGCUAUACUCAACAUUCAACUCAAAUAGGUUCUCAAAAUUACUAUUUAAUUAUAAAAAAGAUUGCUCGAGCUUUUAAGUUAAUUUUCGAAUCAGUAACUGUGACUCAAAUAUUUGUUCAACAAACCAAAUCCA
rnacentral:lncRNA from 1 species